ACGUCUGGGUUUGUACAUCACUGCCUGAAGAGUACUCAGCCAGCUGUGGGAAGUCCAGGAGGAAGCAAAGAGAGACCUGAGAGCUCAAACAACCCUCAAGAAAGGAGGAAAGAUCGUGAGGAUGACAAAGGGCUUUUGGCAGACAAAUGGGUCCUGUGGGGGGAUCCUGAGGUGUGUUUGGAGAUGGACUUGUGGACCUUCUGCUGUGUCUGAGUUUCCCAUGGUGUAUCACUGGCAUUUGCUGGCUCAUGUGGAGACUGAGAUGCUGUCUGGGCGAAGAGAGGAGCAAUUUUUUAUGUUGAAAUUGAAAUGGAGUGUCAACUGAAGAAAACUAAGAGGUUCCAGGCAGAACUGCAGCCCAGAACUGCAGGAGAAAGGCUUUUAUUGAGGAAUGAAGCAAAAUAGGGAGUGAAGAGCAAGGGGCAUGGCAAGGACUCAAGCUGGAGUCUAAUACUUUAUUUUUGUCAAAGCUGGGGGUAGUUUUGCCUUUCACUUAGAACAAAAGCCAGUCCCCAAAAUCCAGAGGGAAAACCCCUCCAAACUUCCCUGUAGGUGUGUCACCCUACAUUACAUGGUGCUGACAUUACCUGGUAUAGAUUUG